UGUCGAGUAGUUGCUCGUGCUUUAUUUAUUUUGAACUGUCGUUGAAUUUCAUGUUGUCGUUGUUGUUGUUACUUAUAUUUAUUAUUUAGCAUUUCAUACCUUAUUUAUUUUCUGUUUGUAUUUUAUUUUGUUUUUGCUUGAGUUUUUCCAUGCUCAUCUACAACGACAACAACGAUUGCGGCAACAAUAACAACCAGAAACAGUAUGUACCUACCUACUAUUUUGUUCAGUGUGAUCGAAUAUAUUAAAUACUCUACACAUUGAAAACACGGUAAUGUGGACAAUCAAUAUCGAACUAUCAAAUAACACGAAGGGCAUUAGGGAAGUUACGGAAUAGCAAAAGCAGUUCAUAAAAAAAGAGUAAUCAACUAAUUUAGAUUAAAAAUAACAAAGUCUGUGACAAGUCUACCUAUACCACCUCCAACACCUUUUUAUGGAGAGUGGAAUAAAAACUAAACAGAAUAAAUAAUAAAAAAUAGCAACAAUGUGUGUUGUGUAGUGAGUUGGUGUCGUGUCGCAUCGUCAUCAUCUAUCCAUUGUCGUCGUGACUGAUCGUUGUUGCCGCCUCUGUCGUCGUCUUCGAUUGUUGUCAAAUAAACCGCAAACACAAAAAAACCUUUAGCAAUUGUCGUGCUCUUAUUUUCUUGUUUCUCUAACAUGUGGUAUGCUCCGUUUCGACACUCACCUUACCUCUCGUCUCGCGCCCUCAUCAAAUAAACAGUAAAAUGUUUGUGUGCUUUUGGUGGUAUCGCCAUCACUGGAAAUUGUAGUACAAUAUUCAUGAGCAACAAAAUAAUAAAUGGCAACAACAACAGCAACAAUUGAAUUUAUGUAAAACGUACGAAAAUGGAAAAAAAAGAAAGCUGUCGAUUGCAUUUACAGUCACAUCUCUAACUAAAGACAAAAUACUGUAACAAUUGAUGCAGAUUGAUCGAUCAAUUGUAAAAAUUUAACAAAUUACUCUUUCUAAUAUUGAGCAAAACACAAAAUAAAUAGUUGUAGAGUUGCCAGAAAUCGAAAGGAUUUUAUCCUGAGGAAUUAAAAAAAACUCGUUAGUUUAGUAAUUAUUUAUUCAUCUUCCUCUUCAUAUGUAUACAUAUUUUAUGUAUAUUCACAAAAAUAAAUACAUAUCUCUGCAUCCA